rnacentral:rRNA from 1 species
AUUCAAGUCGAACGGACGAGAGGUCUUCGGACCUUGAGUCAGUGGCGGACGGGUGAGUAACGCGUGAGCAACCUGCCCAAGUGAGGGGGAUAACGUUUGGAAACGAACGCUAAUACCGCAUAAAGUAUAUGGAAGGCAUCUUCCGGAUACCAAAGGAGAAAUCCGCACGAGGAUGGGCUCGCGUCCGAUUAGGCAGUUGGUGAGGGUAACGGCCCACCAAACCGACGAUCGGUAGCCGGACUGAGAGGUUGAACGGCCACAUUGGAACUGAGAUACGGUCCAGACUCC